GGCCAGCUGACGAGUCCCAGAUAGGACGAAACGUGAGUCAAACUGGAU
rfam:Schistosoma rodhaini strain Burundi genome assembly, scaffold: SROB_scaffold0001665